rnacentral:rRNA from 1 species
AUUGAACGCUGGCGGCAUGCCUUACACAUGCAAGUCGAACGGUAACGGGCCUUCGGGUGCCGACGAGUGGCGAACGGGUGAGUAAUGUAUCGGAACGUACCUUUCAGUGGGGGAUAACGUAGCGAAAGUUACGCUAAUACCGCAUAUUCUGUGAGCAGGAAGCAGGGGAUCGCAAGACCUUGCGCUGAUUGAGCGGCCGAUAUCAGAUUAGCUAGUUGGUGAGGUAAAGGCUCGCCAAGGCGACGAUCUGUAGCGGGUCUGAGAGGAUGAUCCGCCACACUGGAACUGAGACACGGUCCAGACUCCUACGGGAGGCAGCAGUGGGGAAUUUUGGGCAAUGGGGGCAACCCUGAUCCAGCCAUGCCGCGUGAGUGAAGAAGGCCUUCGGGUUGUAAAGCUCUUUCGGCCGGGAAGAAAUCGUAUCAGCUAAUACCUGGUGCGGAUGACGGUACCGGCAUAAGAAGCACCGGCUAACUACGUGCCAGCCGCCGCGGUAAUAC